rnacentral:rRNA from 1 species
UACGUAGGGGGCAAGCGUUGUCCGGAUUUAUUGGGCGUAAAGAGCGUGUAGGCGGCCUGAAAGGUCAGCUGUGAAAACUCGAGGCUCAACCUCGAGACGUCGGUUGAAACCAUCUGGCUAGAGUCCGGAAGAGGAGAGUGGAAUUCCCGGUGUAGCGGUGAAAUGCGCAGAUAUCGGGAAGAACACCCGUGGCGAAGGCGGCUCUCUGGGACGGUACUGACGCUGAGGAGCGAAAGCGUGGGGAGCAAACAGG